UUGUCUUCUUUCUUGCUGGGAAAAUAGGAGCGUUCGUUGGGUAUUUCCACGAGCGUGCAUUGACAACGACCAGUCAUUUGUUUCUUUCUGAAAAAAGAAUGGCGAGUUGUUGAUGCAACAAGGUUGUAGUGUAAACAGGUUUGAAUCAAUUGUUUAUACCUGGGUGUGUUUGGCAGAUUCAACCGAUCCUUUUCAACAAGAUUGGACUUUGGAGCUCAAUCAUCUCAGAUGCAGCAAGAAUCUAAAAGCUUAUGUAACUCAUCAUUGUUUAUUUCAAUUGUUGAUGCAAC
rnacentral:lncRNA from 1 species